GACAGAGGUGCCGAGCGUUAGGCGGAAUCACUGGGCUUAAAGCGUGUGUAGGCGGAUGGGUAAGUACCUUGUGAAAUCCCACGGCUCAACCGUGGAACCGCUGGGUAUACUGCCUGUCUUGAGGCGACUAGGGGCUGUCGGAACAAGUGGUGGAGCGGUGAAAUGCGUAGAUAUCACUUGGAACGCCAACGGUGAAAACAGACAGCUGGGGUCGUCCUGACGCUGAGACACGAAAGCCAGGGGAGCAAACGGG
rnacentral:rRNA from 1 species